rnacentral:rRNA from 1 species
AUUGAACGCUGGCGGCAUGCCUUACACAUGCAAGUCGCACGGCAGCACGGGGCAACCUGGUGGCGAGUGGCGAACGGGUGAGUAAUGCAUCGGAACGUGCCAUUGAGUGGGGGAUAACGUAGCGAAAGUUGCGCUAAUACCGCAUAUUCUGUGAGCAGGAAAGCAGGGGACCGCAAGGCCUUGCGCUCUUUGAGCGGCCGAUGUCAGAUUAGCUAGUUGGUGAGGUAACGGCUUACCAAGGCGACGAUCUGUAGCGGGUCUGAGAGGAUGAUCCGCCACACUGGAACUGAGACACGGUCCAGACUCCUACGGGAGGCAGCAGUGGGGAAUUUGGACAAUGGGCGCAAGCCUGAUCCAGCCAUGCCGCGUGAGUGAAGAAGGCCUU